rnacentral:rRNA from 1 species
UUGGAGGGCAAGUCUGGUGCCAGCAGCCGCGGUAAUUCCAGCUCCAAUAGCGUAUAUUAAAGUUGUUGCAGUUAAAAAGCUCGUAGUUGAAUUUCGGGAUCAAUAUAUUGGUCGUGCCUCCGGUAUGCACUGGUAUUAUUGAUUUCUACCUUCUGACGAACUGUGAUGUCAUUAAUUUGGUGUCAUGGGGAAUCAGGACUGUUACUUUGAAAAAAUUAGAGUGUUUAAAGCAGGCACACGCUUGAAUACAUUAGCAUGGAAUAAUGAAAUAGGACGUUUGACCCUAUUUUGUUGGUUUCUAGGAUCGACGUAAUGAUUAAUAGGGAUAGUUGGGGGCAUUAGUAUUCAAUUGUCAGAGGCGAAAUUCUUGGAUUUAUUGAAGACUAACUACUGCGAAAGCAUUUGCCAAGGAUGUUUUCAUUAAUCAAGAACGAAAGUUAGGGGAUCGAAGACGAUCAGAUACCGUCGUAGUCUUAACCAUAAACUAUGCCGACUAGGGAUCGGAUGAUGUUAAUUUUAUAAUGACUCAUUCGGCGCCUUACGGGAAAC